rnacentral:rRNA from 1 species
AGGUAAGCUACUAAGAGCGAAUGGUGGAUGCCUUGACUGGUAAAGGCGAUGAAGGACGUACUAGACUGCGAUAAGCUACGGGGAGCUGUCAAGAAGUUUUGAUCCGUAGAUUUCCGAAUGGGGCAACCCAAUGUAUAGAGAUAUACAUUACCUAUAUAGGAGCGAACGAGGGGAAUUGAAACAUCUUAGUACCCUCAGGAAAAGAAAUCAAUAGAGAUUGCGUCAGUAGCGGCGAGCGAAAGCGCAAGAGGGCAAACCCAGUGCUUGCACUGGGGGUUGUAGGACUGCAAUGUGCAAGAGGUAAGUUUAGCAGAACAUUCUGGAAAGUAUAACCAUAGAGGGUGAUAGUCCCGUAUGCGAAAAACAAACCUUAGCUAGCAGUAUCCUGAGUAGGGCGGGACACGAGGAAUCCUGUCUGAAUCCGGGUCGACCACGAUCCAACCCUAAAUACUAAUACCAGAUCGAUAGUGCACAAGUACCGUGAGGGAAAGGUGAAAAGAACUGAGGUGAUCAGAGUGAAAUAGAACCUGAAACCAUUUGCUUACAAUCAUUCAGAGCCCUAUGUAGCAAUACAGGGUGAUGGACUGCCUUUUGCAUAAUGAGCCUGCGAGUUGUGGUGUCUGGCAAGGUUAAGCAAACGCGAAGCCGUAGCGAAAGCGAGUCUGAAUAGGGCGCUUAGUCAGAUGCUGCAGACCCGAAACGAAGUGAUCUAUCCAUGAGCAAGUUGAAGCUAGUGUAAGAACUAGUGGAGGACUGAACCCAUAGGCGUUGAAAAGCCCCGGGAUGACUUGUGGAUAGGGGUGAAAGGCCAAUCAAACUUCGUGAUAGCUGGUUCUCUCCGAAAUAUAUUUAGGUAUAGCGUUGUGUCGUAAUAUAAGGGGGUAGAGCACUGAAUGGGCUAGGGCAUACACCAAUGUACCAAACCCUAUCAAACUCCGAAUACCUUAUAUGUAAUCACAGCAGUCAGGCGGCGAGUGAUAAAAUCCGUCGUCAAGAGGGAAACAACCCAGACUACCAGCUAAGGUCCCUAAAUCUUACUUAAGUGGAAAACGAUGUGAAGUUACUUAAACAACCAGGAGGUUGGCUUAGAAGCAGCCAUCCUUUAAAGAAAGCGUAAUAGCUCACUGGUCUAGUGAUUUUGCGCGGAAAAUAUAACGGGGCUAAAGU